ACACGGAGGGCGCAAGCGUUGCUCGGAAUCACUGGGCGUAAAGCGGGUGUAGGCGGUCUAGCAAGUCAGAUGUGAAAGCCCACGGCUCAACCGUGGAAGUGCAUCUGAAACUGCUAGACUUGAGUGCCGGAGAGGGAAGUGGAAUUCCCGGUGUAGGGGUGAAAUCCGUAGAUAUCAGGAGGAACACCGGUGGCGAAGGCGACUUCCUGGACGGCCACUGACGCUGAGACCCGAAAGCGUGGGGAGCAAACAGGAUUAGAAACCCUAGUAGUCCC
rnacentral:rRNA from 1 species